CGUGCGAGACCUUCGGGUCUAGCGGCGGACGGGUUAGUAACGCGUGGGAACGUGCCCUUCUCUAUGGAAUAGCCUCGGGAAACUGAGAGUAAUACCGUAUACGCCCUUCGGGGGAAAGAUUUAUCGGAGAAGGAUCGGCCCGCGUCUGAUUAGAUAGUUGGUGGGGUAAUGGCCUACCAAGUCUACGAUCAGUAGCUGGUUUUAGAGGAUGAUCAGCAACACUGGGACUGAGACACGGCCCAGACUCCUACGGGAGGCAGCAGUGGGGAAUCUUAGACAAUGGGCGAAAGCCUGAUCUAGCCAUGCCGCGUGUGUGAUGAAGGCCUUAGGGUCGUAAAGCACUUUCGCUGGGGAAGAUAAUGACUGUACCCAGUAAAGAAACCCCGGCUAACUCCGUGCCAGCAGCCGCGGUAAUACGGAGGGGGUUAGCGUUGUUCGGAAUUACUGGGCGUAAAGCGCGCGUAGGCGGAUUAGAAAGUUGGGGGUGAAAUCCCGGGGCUCAACCUCGGAACUGCCUCCAAAACUACUAGUCUAGAGUUCGAGAGAGGUGAGUGGAAUUCCGAGUGUAGAGGUGAAAUUCGUAGAUAUUCGGAGGAACACCAGUGGCGAAGGCGGCUCACUGGCUCGAUACUGACGC
rnacentral:rRNA from 1 species